AUGGACCCAUAUGAGCUGCUAAUAGGCUCUGAAAAAGAUGAGGUCAGUACAGAGCGCUUGGCUCAGUCCAUCCCUCUGGUUUAUGGCUGUGCUGACCCUCAUGCAGAUAAUGGUACAGCUUCUGCCUCCAGACUUCCUCCAAGGAGCCCAAAGUGCUUUGUAAAUGUCUUCCUAUCGAUUUUCACGUCUCUGAUGCAGAAUUUUAAAGGCAGCAGACAGAAGAGCAUUACCUGGGCUUCCUGA
rnacentral:lncRNA from 1 species